rnacentral:rRNA from 1 species
UAGGGAAUAUUGGUCAAUGGGCGCAAGCCUGAACCAGCCAUGCCGCGUGCAGGAUGACUGCCCUAUGGGUUGUAAACUGCUUUUGUACGGGAAGAAACCCCACUACGUGUAGUGGGUUGACGGUACCGUGAGAAUAAGGAUCGGCUAACUUCGUGCCAGCAGCCGCGGUAAUACGAAGGAUCCUAGCGUUGUCCGGAUUUACUGGGUUUAAAGGGUGCGUAGGCGGACUUUUAAGUCAGUGGUGAAAGCCUGCAGCUUAACUGUAGAAUUGCCAUUGAAACUGAUUGUCUCGAGUGCGGUUGAGGUCACUGGAAUGUAUCAUGUAGCGGUGAAAUGCUUAGAUAUGAUACAGAACACCAAUUGCGAAGGCAGGUGACUAAGCCGUAACUGACGCUGAUGCACGAAAGCGUGGGGAUCAAACAGGAUUAGAUACCCCCGUAGUCC